rnacentral:rRNA from 1 species
AUACGUAGGUGGCAAGCGUUGUCCGGAUUUACUGGGUGUAAAGGGCGCGUAGGCGGGAUUGCAAGUCAGGAGUGAAAUCUAUGGGCUUAACCCAUAAACUGCUUUUGAAACUGUAAUUCUUGAGUAUCGGAGAGGCAGGCGGAAUUCCGGGUGGAGCGGUGAAAUGCGUAGAUAUACGGAAGAACACCAGUGGCGAAGGCGGCCUGCUGGACGACAACUGACGCUGAGGCGCGAAAGCGUUGGGAGCAAACAGGAUUAGAGACCCUGGUAGUCCACGCUGUAAACGAUGAAUACUAGGUGUGGGGGGACUGACCCCCUCCGUGCCUGAGUUAACACAAUAAGUAUUCCACCUGGGGAGUACGGCCGCAAGGUUGAAACUCAAAUGAAUUGACGGGG